GCCAAGGUAGCUCAGUUGGUAGAGCACGCGCCUGAAAAGUGCGGUGUCGCCGGUUCGAUUCCGGCCCUUGGCACCA
rnacentral:tRNA from 1 species